AAACCAGCACCUCAAGUGGUCAGGAUGAUUAUUGGGCCUAAAGCAUCCGUAGCCGGCUCUGUAAGUUUUCGGUUAAAUCUGUAUGCUCAACAUACAGGCUGCCGGGAAUACUGCAGAACUAGGGAGUGGGAGAGGUAGACGGUACUCGGGAGGAAGUGGUAAAAUGCUUUGAUCUCUCGAUGACCACCUGUGGCGAAGGCGGUCUACCAGAACACGUCCGACGGUGAGGGAUGAAAGCUGGGGGAGCAAACCGGAUUAGAAACCCUUGUAGUCC
rnacentral:rRNA from 1 species